rnacentral:rRNA from 1 species
AGAUGGUUUCGACUAUCGCUUCUGGAUGGACCCGCGGCGUAUUAGCUAGUUGGUGGAGUAAUGGUUCACCAAGGCAAUGAUACGUAGCCGACCUGAGAGGGUAAUCGGCCACAUUGGGACUGAGACACGGCCCAAACUCCUACGGGAGGCAGCAGUAGGGAAUCUUCCACAAUGGACGAAAGUCUGAUGGAGCAACGCCGCGUGAGUGAAGAAGGGUUUCGGCUCGUAAAACUCUGUUGUUGAAGAAGAACACAUCUGAGAGUAACUGUUCAGGUGUUGACGGUAUUUAACCAGAAAGCCACGGCUAACUACGUGCCAGCAGCCGCGGUAAUACGUAGGUGGCAAGCGUUGUCCGGAUUUAUUGGGCGUAAAGCGAGCGCAGGCGGUUUCUUAAGUCUGAUGUGAAAGCCUUCGGCUUAACCGGAGAAGUGCAUCGGAAACUGGGAGACUUGAGUGCAGAAGAGGACAGUGGAACUCCAUGUGUAGCGGUGAAAUGCGUAGAUAUAUGGAAGAACACCAGUGGCGAAGGCGGCUGUCUGGUCUGUAACUGACGCUGAGGCUCGAAAGCAUGGGUAGCGAACAGGAUUAGAUACCCUGGUAGUCCAUGCCGUAAACGAUGAAUACUAGGUGUUUGGAAGGGUUUCCGCCCUUCAGUGCCGCAGCUAACGCAUUAAGUAUUCCGCCUGGGGGAGUACGACCGCAAGGGUUGAAACUCAAAGGGAAUUGACGGGGGGCCCGCACAAGCGGUGGAACCAUUGG